CAGGGAAGGGCUCGGAAGCGUUCCAUGCUCGCUUCCUCCUCUAAAAACCAUAACGGGGACUUCGGAGUCGUGAUUCACCAGGAGGUCUUGAAGGGCUGCACAGGAAUGUGCUGAGUUGAAAGGGACUCACAAGAUCGGUGAAAUCCAACUCGUGGUCCUGCACAGGGCAUCCCCAAGGAUGUGCCUGAGAGCCCUGUCCGAGCGUGGAGCAUGCCGAGUGUGACGGGAGAAGCUGGUGCCACAGCUGUGUGCUGCCUGUCCGUGGUCACACAGCCAGGGCUGAGAGAAGGUAGCAGAGUGUAACCAAUUCCAAGGCAUCUGUUUAUAAAUUAUUGGUACUGGUGAUGUCUGGACCUUAGUACCACAAAGUCCUCCUUGACACCAUUCCUUGUUCAUUCUUCCCAGAGCAUCUCAGGAGAAAGGAUUUUACCACUAAAACCUUGGGAAGAAAGGAACCUUCUUCCCUGUUGCAAAGCUGGUAUUGUUUGGGAUACCCUGCUGGGCUUCUGAAGAGAAGUGAUGACAGACACCCUGUGACAGACGUAAAAUCCAGCUCUGGAAUCCCAACAGCAAAUCCAGCGUGUGAGCAAAGGCUGCUCUGGCUUGUGUGGGUCUUCAUGGUCGCCUGCCAGCUUCAAACCAGGCUGUGUCAGUGGAGAACUGUAAAUGCUUCUUGGGAGAACUGGCUGCUCUGAAGAACCAUAACUUACAACUGUGAAAUGGGCAGUGCAGUUCCUGGGGAAACAAUGAUUGCAACACAGGGAUAUGGAGAUCUCAGCUGUAAAAGCCUCUAAGGCAGAUAAGCCACCAGGGAUUCUCUUGUACCAUACUGGGAAGAUUCCUGGUCCUUAGUAUGGAUGUGAGAAAGAGCUGAGCCCCUCAGACAAUUAUAAUUAGGUCAUUAAAGUUAAAUGCCAGACUGUAUCUUUAUAUUGCAGUAAUAAAAGGGUAGUGAGAACCUCCAGUAAAAGUGUCAGAUGAUGUGCUAUUCCCAAUCUGUGAUUCCUAUGGCUUAUGGGUGAAGUCACGGCCAGCACACAGCAUAUUUCCCAUGUGAACAGGUCCAGUUUCACAAUCACCACUGUGAAACACACAGGACUGUCCAACA